rnacentral:sRNA from 1 species
GCACAGUAACUCCAUCAUUUUCUUUCUUCUUAC